UUACGGCCAUAUUAGGUCGGAAUAUCGAUACUCGUACGAACACCGAAGUUAAGAAACGUCGAGCCUGGUCAGUAUCUAGAUGGGUGACCGCUUGUGAAUACCG